AUCAUUAUGCUGUACUUCUCUUUCCUAGAUCCAAGAAAGUGAGCCACAANUCAAGCCGUGUUUAAAAUUAGCACCCUUUGGCAGCAGGAAUGUUCCUUUUUCUUACUGCAUGUUCUCGAAUACUUUCAGAAGGUGUGUUCUUCUCAGAAUAGUGUGCUAGCAGGGCUGUAGCAAAACAAACAGAGGCGUUCCGAACUGAUGUUCUCAACAACUCCCGGUGGUCACAAAUGUCUUAUCAAAGUCAGAAUGCUCCGGCAGUUCUUGGAUUACCAAAGCGCUAUGCACCAUAAUAAAAACAAUUAAACAGUAGAUUAGCCGAGUCAAACAAGCAAGAAAGAAAAUGAAAGGUAUUUUAGCUGGAUGUCACUGUGGCCUUGGCUUCCUGUUUUAUACGCAACAGAAAGUCUGCAGCAGAUUAAGGCAGAUUAGAUGAGUUUUCAGGAGGCAGAGUAACCUUUGGCCAGGCUCAGGCAGGCUGCUGACAAGGGUUUCAGUGGCUUGGUUAACGAACUUUUCUGUGACGCCUCGCUGACUUCCUGCUCCUGACCACGGAGGGCUCGGUGAGCACAGCAGCAGGAAGCACUGACCUCCUGGAGGCGGCUCGCUGCUGCCAGAGUCACGGGCCUGCUGCAGGAGUUACAAGAGCACAGCUUUGAAUUUUAUUGGGAAAACCCCACAAAGGAUACUCACCACAGAAUGUGAAAACAAAGAAAAUAGCCUUGACCGUGUGUGUGUGAGCAUAAUCAUCAUCCAGAGACCAUGCUGAUAAACAGUGCGAAACAAGGCACCUUAUCUCAGAUGCCAUGGUCUCCAGAGGACAACCAGAGGAACCUGAAUGAAAAGCACAGGGCUCAAGAUGGGCUGCGAUCUGUGCCUGGCUC
rnacentral:lncRNA from 1 species